rnacentral:rRNA from 3 species
AGACCCGAAACCCGGUGAUCUAGCCAUGGGCAGGUUGAAGGUUGGGUAACACUAACUGGAGGACCGAACCGACUAAUGUUGAAAAAUUAGCGGAUGACCUGUGGCUGGGGGUGAAAGGCCAAUCAAACCGGGAGAUAGCUGGUUCUCCCCGAAAGCUAUUUAGGUAGCGCCUCGUGAAUUCAUCUCCGGGGGUAGAGCACUGUUUCGGCUAGGGGGCCAUCCCGGCUUACCAACCCGAUGCAAACUGCGAAUACCGGAGAAUGUUAUCACGGGAGACACACGGCGGGUGCUAACGUCCGUCGUGAAGAGGGAAACAACCCAGACCGCCAGCUAAGGUCCCAAAGUCAUGGUUAAGUGGGAAACGAUGUGGGAAGGCCCAGACAGCCAGGAUGUUGGCUUAGAAGCAGCCAUCAUUUAAAGAAAGCGUAAUAGCUCACUGGUCGAGUCGGCCUGCGCGGAAGAUGUAACGGGGCUAAACCAUGCACCGAAGCUGCGGCAGCGAACGUAUCACUUAAAGCGAUUCAGCGGGUUACGAUUGACGGAGCGAAGCGACGUCAAAGCGUAUACAAAGUCGAGUCGGUUUAAGGAUACGUUCGUUGGGUAGGGGAGCGUUCUGUAAGCCUGUGAAGGUGGCCUGUGAGGGUUGCUGGAGGUAUCAGAAGUGCGAAUGCUGACAUAAGUAACGAUAAAGCGGGUGAAAAGCCCGCUCGCCGGAAGACCAAGGGUUCCUGUCCAACGUUAAUCGGGGCAGGGUGAGUCGACCCCUAAGGCGAGGCCGAAAGGCGUAGUCGAUGGGAAACGGGUUAAUAUUCCCGUACUUGGUGUUACUGCGAAGGGGGGACGGAGAAGGCUAUGUUGGCCGGGCGACGGUUGUCCCGGUUUAAGCGUGUAGGUGUGUGUUCCAGGUAAAUCCGGUUCACUUUAACACUGAGGCGUGACGACGAGGCACUACGGUGCUGAAGCAACAAAUGCCCUGCUUCCAGGAAAAGCCUCUAAGCAUCAGGUAACAUCAAAUCGUACCCCAAACCGACACAGGUGGUCAGGUAGAGAAUACCAAGGCGCUUGAGAGAACUCGGGUGAAGGAACUAGGCAAAAUGGUGCCGUAACUUCGGGAGAAGGCACGCUGACAC